rnacentral:rRNA from 1 species
UACGGAAGGCAGCAGUGGGGAAUAUUGCACAAUGGGCGAAAGCCUGAUGCAGCUAUGCCGCGUGUAUGAAGAAGGCCUUAGGGUUGUAAAGUACUUUCAUCGGGGAGGAAAAACAAAACUAAUAAUUUUAUUUCUUGACGUUACCCGAAAAAGAAGCACCGGCUAACUCCGUGCCAGCAGCCGCGGUAAUACGGAGGGUGCUAGCGUUAAUCAGAAUUACUGGGCGUAAAGAGCACGUAGGUGGUUUUUUUAAGUCAGAUGUGAAAUCCCUGGGCUUAACCUAGGAACUGCAUUUUGAAACUGAAAUACUAGAGUAUCGUAGAGGGAGGUAGAAUUCUAGGUGUAGCGGUGAAAUGCGUAGAUAUCUGGAGGAAUACCUGUGGCGAAAGCGGCCUCCUAAACGAAUACUGACACUGAGGUGCGAAAGCGUGGGGAGCAAACGAGGGAUUAGAUACC